rnacentral:lncRNA from 1 species
CCAGGAGCACCAGUCCUGCUUUAAAAUUCCAUCCUUUCAUGCAGCUGUGCCCUGGUUUGUGUGUCUGUCUACAUGUGCGGCCAGUAACAUCCAAAGGAGAUCCAUCACCUUUAGAGUUUAUUCCCAACUUUUCCUUCCAGCCACUGAUUUCCGACAGCAUAACCCACGGUCUGUCUGCUCCCCUCAGAAAACAACAUCAACGAUGAAGGUGCGUUGGCUGUUUUAGGAGCGAGAAGCAUCCAUCCCACCGCAGGCCUCUCUGUGCGUUAGGCAGCAGCAUCAGUGAUCAAACGUAUGUGGAUGUGUUGCACACAACAGGACUGUGAGCUCGUGCAUUGAAUUCUUCCAGUGAGAGACAUGAUGGUUCAGGUACUCCUUGUGCUGUCGUGUGUAUUUGUCUAUGCUUAUACAUACAUAUGUGUGUGUAUGGUGCGUAUCAAUGCAGACGUGUAAGUGCACAGUAACGCAUGCAUUUAAAACAUGUCACCAUGUGACCAGAUUUACAGCUAAAUGCAAGGCUUAAAAAAAAAAAUAGCAUGUUUCAGAGAUGCAAGAUGUACCUUUAAAACAUGAAGAUCUGUCCUCAACACCACCUCGCUUACUCACAC